GGCUGAAGCACCAAGACAGACUGUCCCACUCCAGAGGGUCACUCUGCCUCUGGAUGUUGCCUCUGGCCAGCUCCCGCAGUCUGGGAAGGAGAGGGUCAGGCCAGUCAGGCCCGGGGGGCAGGGGUCUCACCAGGACUUUGAUCUACAGCCACAUGUAGGGGAAGGAAGGGCAGCUUGGGACAGGCAACGCAAUCAGCAGUGGAUGUACCAAAAGCUGAGACCAUAAGAAAGAGAAAUGAGGAGAAGCAGAGUAUCAGGAGAUCAUUUUCAGGAACAUUAGAUAGAGGCCAGAAAGGAGAAGUGGGUAAUUUUAAUCCCAUGCAGCUGCUGGAAAUUAAUUUAAUUGUGCUGGUGCUGGCUCUUCUCCCUUCAAACCCGUUUCAUCAGGGCCUGAUGGAGUGAUGAGACCGAGGAAGACAGCCCGGCCGCGCCAGCCAGCAGCCCUGGGUAUGCAGCUCCAGGCCGGACUUCCUCCCGUUCCUAUGGCUGCUACCAGAGAAGAUGGGAAAACUGGCACUUUUUCAAUCUAGACGUUUCUCCUCUUGACAGGGGACUGAAGUGAGACAACAGGAAGAACUUCCCAACAGCAAAGAGUGUGAACUAUGCGAAUACGUGAAGGCGGCUGCAAACCAUCUUCUCUAACUCUUAAGGAUAGAGAGACAUUGGAGGAGCCAGCAUUUGGAUCCCAAGGGUUGUUUAUUUUGACUCACUGCUGUUUUUGCUGGAGAAGGGUAAAACAGAAAGUUCCUUUACUUUGGCUAAGUGUGGCACACAUAACUGCCCUGAGCCCGAAUUUCUGAUGAGCAAAUAGAAGCGGACCAGUGGUUCAAUCUUCCUUCAUCAUCUUCAAAAAGAAUAACACCCAAGGGCACAUAGGAUUGGCUUCUCUACAUUUCAAUUUAAGAGAAAUGGAAAGAAGACUCAUCUACCACUGAAGAUACCUGAACUCAAAAAUGAAAAAUAAGAUGGCCUCCCUGAUCAGCUCCAGGUUCUUCCUUCCUAGUUCUGGCUCCUGGACACCUCAUGACCACAUUGCGCAUUUGCACUCUUAGUGAGUGCUGCUCAUAACAGGGUAUUAUGAUUCCUCUUAUAGAGUCCACCUUUCAUUCCAAAUUGUGAGGCUGCUGGAUGGCAGAAUAAGUUCUGGGCACAUAGUAGGUGCACAAUAAACAUUUGUUAAACCAAAAUGUUUGUUGUCAAUCUUGUCUUCAAUCUAACUUGUCUAAUACGUAAAACCAACCCAGAGAGAAACUUUUCUAGACCCUUCUCUGUUAAGCUCCACACAGGUCCCCAUUCUUUCUGAUUUUUUGUUUUGUUUUGUUUUGUUUUGAGACGGAGUUUCACUCUUGUUGCCCAGGCUGGAGUGCAGUAGCGUGAUCUUGGCUCACUGCAACCUCCACCUCCCGCGUUCAAGCAAUUCUCCUGCCUCAGCCUCCUGAGUAGCUGGGAUUACAGGCGCCUGCCACCACACCUGGCUAUUUUUUUUUUAUUUUUAGUAGAGACGGGGUUUCACCAUCUUGGCUAGGCUGGUCUCGAACUCCUGGCCUCAGGUGAUCUCCCCGCCUUGGCCUCCCAAAGUGCUGGGAUUACAGGUGUGAGCCGCUGUGUCCGGCCACAAGACCCCAUUCUUAACUUGCAAAUGUUUGGUGAAGUUUGCUAAACCCUACCUACCCUCCCAAGAGACGGUGAUUGGGUAGGUUUAGGGUGGGGUUCAGGAACUUGCAUUUGUAACAACUGAGAAUGGUGAUUCUGAAAUUAUCAAGGGGGAAUGCAUU
ensembl:lincRNA